CAAAAGGGCAAGUGUGGUCGGGGGCUGACAGAGUGUGCUCAUGUAUGUAGGGGAAAGAGAGAGCGGGGCAGUGUUGUGUGUGUGUGUGUGUGUGUGUGUGUGUGUGUGUGUGUGUGUGUGUGUGUGUGUGUGUGUGUGUGCGUGUGUGCGUGAGAGGCAUGACGUACACUGACAGGUGCUGACGGUCACAGCUGCUGCAGAGGAUAUACAAUCACCUACACUGCCUCAACUCACACACACACAACUUCACAGUUCGAUGGGAAAGCUCACUGUGUAUCCUGUGUGUGUCUGUAAAUGAAACCUGUUUCCAUUGAGCAAGUUUCUAAUUUAACACGUUGCGGUCAGAAUACCUGAAAUGCACGUUUUUUGAUGUGUGUCCCUGGCUGUCUUUUGUGUUUGUUUUUAGUAGUAAAACCUGCAAAGAGGUUGUCUUCUGAA